rnacentral:rRNA from 1 species
GAAACUAACCAGGAUUCCCCCAGUAACGGCGAGUGAACGGGGAUUAGCCCAGCAUCGAAGCCUAUGGUCGUUUGACUGUAAGGCAAUGUGAUGUUAUGGAUCCUGCCUAGGGUCACUGGUCAACUCGAAGUCCAAUAUUGAAUGUGGCUUUUGUAUAUAGCCCAGAGCGGGUGAUAGGCCCGUGCGAGUUGACUGUUAGUGGUGUUGAGUGGCCUCUAGAUGCGGUGAUCUUUGGAGUCGGAUUGCUUGAGAAUGCAGUCCAAAGUUGGUGGUAAACUCCAUCAAAGGCUAAAUACUGGCACGAGUCCGAUAGCAAACAAGUACCGUGAGGGAAAGUUGAAAAGCACUCUGAAGAGAGAGUAAAUAGGCCGUGAAACCACAUGCAGGUAAGCGGGUGGAGUCCAGCUGCUUGCUUUGAGGAUUUAGCCAGCCUGUGCAUAAUGGGUGUUGUGAACUGCCGUGUUGUGGUUUGCCUUACAAUGGCAAAUCAAGCUUUGCUUGAUCCAUGUGCUGUCUGGUAGACAGUGUGGGCCAUGCACGAUGUGGUGUGUAUGUUCGCAGGCUGGUGUCAUUCUUCAUAGCUAACAUCACAGUCAAUGUAACUGCUAGUAUGUGAUGCGUCAAACCGUUUAGCUGUGGUCCUUGAAGUCCACUCUUUACGGGACGGCAGGUGGUGUGCAUGGGUUAGUCUUGUACCAGCCCAUGCAUGCUUAAAUUGUGGCUUCGGCCAGCCGACCAUCAUGUUGUUUGUGUACUAUGUCUACCGUUAACUAUGCAGUAUAUUGGUCAUAGUGUGUGCAAUUGCGCGGUGAGUUGUGCAUGUGCCCGGGUCGGGCUCAUGGUUGGUUAGGUGUAACAGCGUGCCAAUCGUGAUGCUUGUCGGUGGCUGUGCGCACGAACCGUACUGUACGUGUAAACUGUGGUGCUGUGGUA